GGUUAGGAUUUGAUUUAGGAUUUGGAUUAGGGUUUGGUUAGGUUUUGAUUUAAGGUUUGGUUUAGGGUUUAGGAUUUGGAUUAGAAUUUAGGAUUGGAUUAGGAUUUGGAUUAUGAUUUGGUUAGGAUUUGAUUUAGGGUUUGGAUUAGGGUUUAGGAUUUGAUUAGGGUUUGAUUUAGGAUUUGGAUUAGGGUUUGGUUAGGAUUUGAUUUAAGGUUUGGUUUAGGAUUUAGGAUUGGAUUAGGGUUUGGUUUAGGGUUUGAUUUAGAGUUUGAUUUAGGGUUUAGGGUUUGGAAUAGGAUUUAAUUUAAGAUUUGUUUAGGAUUUGACUUAGGGUUUAGGAAUUAUUAGGGUUUAAGAUUUAAUUAGGUUUGAUCUAAAGUUGAAUGAAAUUUAAUAGGGUUUUAGCUAGAAUUAAAUUAAAGUUUAAUUGACAUAUAUUUGAAGAAAAUUUGUGAUUAUUCUAAUAUUUCUUUAAGAAUUUUAUUGUUUGUUUGAAAUUUCUUUGAGUUGUUUUGAAUUGGAUUACGUUUGUUUACCAUUAUUAUAGUCUAAUUAGAGCAUUGUUAGUAUUCUAUUUAGGAUUUUGUUAUCGCAAUUUCUAUUCUUCCUUCUAUAGCCAGGUGCCCGGAGCAUUCUUAAGCAAGACUUCACACAUUAUGACAAUGCAUGUGCUAAAUGUCCAAUCAUU
rnacentral:lncRNA from 1 species